rnacentral:rRNA from 1 species
UACGGAGGGAGCUAGCGUUGUUCGGAAUUACUGGGCGUAAAGCGCACGUAGGCGGCUUUGUAAGUUAGAGGUGAAAGCCUGGAGCUCAACUCCAGAAUUGCCUUUAAGACUGCAUCGCUUGAAUCCAGGAGAGGUGAGUGGAAUUCCGAGUGUAGAGGUGAAAUUCGUAGAUAUUCGGAAGAACACCAGUGGCGAAGGGCGGCUCACUGGACUGGUAUUGACGCUGAGGUGGCGAAAGCGUGGGGAGCAAACAGG